AGAAGCCCGGGGCCAGACUGACAUCAUUGGGCAUCUCCCCAGCUUCCCUGGAUGGGGCCAUGGGAACACUUCUGGACUGAAGGGUGGUGGGACCUCCCCAUAGAAUGCGGGGUCCUUGAGGGCAGACAGUCUUGGCUUUGCCUUCGGAGCUGGGAUGGUGCCUUCAGUGUCUGGCACUGACUUUCAUGACUUUUGCUGACUUAGGUGGCUUUGGGUCUUUCUACACACAAUAAAGGCUUGUUUUCUCAAUGAUGUAUAAUAAGGAGUUGGAGGAGAGGACCCCUGAGGUCCCUUCUGUGAGCCUAAUUAGGAGCUGCAAAAGCCUCCUGAGGGAAGGGGCCAGUCACCACUCCUGGUGGUGUGUUCUCCAGGCCCUCCCAGAAGUUCACCAUGAAGGGUCCGCCCUAGGGACUGGAGACCCGCUUCAAGCUUGCUUACCUUGUGUGGCAAGUAGUGAAGCACCCAGACAGUUCAUACAAAACUGGGAUCCUGGCAGAAGCUCACGUCAGCCAAGUGGGGAGUUCUCCCUGGGACAGCGCCCAUGAACAGCUCCUAAGUCUUGCCUUUGC